ensembl:misc_RNA 7SK 7SK RNA
AGAUGUGAGGGCGAUCUAGCUGUGACAUCUGUCACUCCACUGAUGAUCGCGAGGGUUGAUUCAGCCGAUCUGGCUGGCUAGGUAGGCGGCGUCCCCUUCCUCCCUCACCACUCCAUGUGCAUUCCUUUCAAAGCUGUGCACUAGGUCAAAGAAAGACGACCAGCCCCCAUAGAAGAGGACCAUUUAUUUCAAGGGUAGAGAAUAGCUGCACUACCCUUCUAAAGCCUCCAAACAAGCUCUCAAGAUGGCUCUCCCCUCACCUGAAAAGAAAUCUUACCAGAUCUGGUUUUAAUCAAAAAUUUUUAACUGUGAACCUGGGCUUU